GUUUUCUUUCUUCUUGUC
rnacentral:sRNA from 1 species